CCCACGGGGGGCAGCAGUGGGGAAUAUUGGACAAUGGGGGCAACCCUGAUCCAGCCAUGCCGCGUGUGUGAAGAAGGCCCUCGGGUUGUAAAGCACUUUCAGUGAGGAAGAACGCCUGGUGGUUAAUACCCAUCAGGAAAGACAUCACUCACAGAAGAAGCACCGGCUAACUCCGUGCCAGCAGCCGCGGUAAUACGGAGGGUGCGAGCGUUAAUCGGAAUUUCUGGGCGUAAAGCGCGCGUAGGUGGCUUGAUAAGCCGGUUGUGAAAGCCCCGGGCUCAACCUGGGAACGGCAUCCGGAACUGUCAAGCUAGAGUGCAGGAGAGGAAGGUAGAAUUCCCGGUGUAGCGGUGAAAUGCGUAGAGAUCGGGAGGAAUACCAGUGGCGAAGGCGGCCUUCUGGACUGACACUGACACUGAGGUGCGAAAGCGUGGGUAGCAAACAGGAUUAGAUACCCUGGUAGUC
rnacentral:rRNA from 1 species